AACAGCUGGUGUCGCAGCCUCUGUAAAACUGUUUACCAUUGCAAUUGCCACUUAACCCAAAAUCAGGAUCUUCAGAACUCCUAUAGGGUCUGGUAUAGGAGUACUGGUAUAUAUUUCAUGAGUCUCUUCUAGGAAAGUACAUUAUGAAAUCUGUUGGACUCUAAUAGGUUUGAAAGAUGACUGUGAAAACAGUUAAGAAUUGUGAUAGAAAUAUUAGAAAGAGCUGUCAGUUUGCUAGCAGGAUGGCAAUGCAACGGCAGUCUGAUUUUCUGAGCCUGGUUCACUUGCGUUCUUCCACAGGAAAUGCCAUUUACUAAAGUGGGCAAGGAGGAGGAAAAUUUACAAUGCAGAUAUUACAAUGUCACUGCUUUGAUGCUCC